GCCACCAUCCUCCAAAGGUCUAUGUAUGCUGUGCCCCUGACAAUACUGCCCUAGGUGGGGCACCGGCCAGGAGCCAGGGUUGACCUCUACAAGGAAGACCAUUUCUAUCCAGCAGUGGAGCCAAAGGAGUGAUUAGAGAGAAUUUCAUACCCAAAGGGGAGGACAGAAGGAGUGACCAGGAAGUGGACACCUAAUCCUUUUGAAGGUCAAGUACAGAAAGGUAUUAACUAGCCUAGUCCUCACCAGAACAACACUACCACUUCCCUC
rnacentral:lncRNA from 1 species